rnacentral:rRNA from 1 species
UACGUAGGGUGCAAGCGUUAAUCGGAAUUACUGGGCGUAAAGCGUGCGCAGGCGGUUGUGCAAGACAGAUGUGAAAUCCUCGGGCUUAACCUGGGAAUUGCAUUUGUGACUGCACGGCUAGAGUGUGUCAGAGGGGGGUAGAAUUCCACGUGUAGCAGUGAAAUGCGUAGAUAUGUGGAGGAAUACCGAUGGCGAAGGCAGCCCCCUGGGAUAACACUGACGCUCAUGCACGAAAGCGUGGGGAGCAAACAGG